rnacentral:rRNA from 1 species
AUUAAUGCUGGUGGUAUGCAUAACACAUGCAAGUCGAACGAAGAGGGUUUACUCUCUUAGUGGCGAACGGGCGAGUAACACAUAUUUAACUUACCUGCACGAGGAGAAUAGUAACUCGAAAGAGUUGUUAAUACUCCAUAGGUUUGAGACUCAAAUUAAAGGGAGCGUUCUGGGAAACUAGAGCUUCGCGAGCAGAGAGGAGUAUGUCCUAUUAGGUUGUUGGUGGGGUAAUUGCCUACCAAGCCGAUGAUGGGUAGCUGGACUGAGAGGUCGACCAGCCGCAAUGGGAUUGAAAUACGGCCCAUAUUCCUACGGGAAGCAGCAGUGAGGAAUUUUUCACAAUGGACGAAAGUCUGAUGGAGCAAUACCAUGUGAACGAUGAAGGUCUUCUGAUUGUAAAGUUCUUUUAUUUAGGAAAAAAAGCUUGAUAGGAAAUGAUUAAGCCUUGAUUGUACUAAAUGAAUAAGUGACAGCUAACUAUGUGCCAG